rnacentral:rRNA from 1 species
GGGUUGUGAGGUUAAGCGACUAAGCGUACACGGUGGAUGCCCUGGCAGUCAGAGGCGAUGAAGGACGUGCUAAUCUGCGAUAAGCGUCGGUAAGGUGAUAUGAACCGUUAUAACCGGCGAUUUCCGAAUGGGGAAACCCAGUGUGAUUCGUCACACUAUCAUUAACUGAAUCCAUAGGUUAAUGAGGCGAACCGGGGGAACUGAAACAUCUAAGUACCCCGAGGAAAAGAAAUCAACCGAGAUUCCCCCAGUAGCGGCGAGCGAACGGGGAGCAGCCCAGAGCCUGAAUCAGUGUGUGUGUUAGUGGAAGCGUCUGGAAAGGCGCGCGAUACAGGGUGACAGCCCCGUACACAAAAAUGCACAUGCUGUGAGCUCGAUGAGUAGGGCGGGACACGUGGUAUCCUGUCUGAAUAUGGGGGGACCAUCCUCCAAGGCUAAAUACUCCUGACUGACCGAUAGUGAACCAGUACCGUGAGGGAAAGGCGAAAAGAACCCCGGCGAGGGGAGUGAAAAAGAACCUGAAACCGUGUACGUACAAGCAGUGGGAGCACGCUUAGGCGUGUGACUGCGUACCUUUUGUAUAAUGGGUCAGCGACUUAUAUUCUGUAGCAAGGUUAACCGAAUAGGGGAGCCGAAGGGAAACCGAGUCUUAACUGGGCGUUAAGUUGCAGGGUAUAGACCCGAAACCCGGUGAUCUAGCCAUGGGCAGGUUGAAGGUUGGGUAACACUAACUGGAGGACCGAACCGACUAAUGUUGAAAAAUUAGCGGAUGACUUGUGGCUGGGGGUGAAAGGCCAAUCAAACCGGGAGAUAGCUGGUUCUCCCCGAAAGCUAUUUAGGUAGCGCCUCGUGAAUUCAUCUCCGGGGGUAGAGCACUGUUUCGGCAAGGGGGUCAUCCCGACUUACCAACCCGAUGCAAACUGCGAAUACCGGAGAAUGUUAUCACGGGAGACACACGGCGGGUGCUAACGUCCGUCGUGAAGAGGGAAACAACCCAGACCGCCAGCUAAGGUCCCAAAGUCAUGGUUAAGUGGGAAACGAUGUGGGAAGGCCCAGACAGCCAGGAUGUUGGCUUAGAAGCAGCCAUCAUUUAAAGAAAGCGUAAUAGCUCACUGGUCGAGUCGGCCUGCGCGGAAGAUGUAACGGGGCUAAACCAUGCACCGAAGCUGCGGCAGCGACGCUGAUGCGUUGUUGGGUAGGGGAGCGUUCUGUAAGCCUGCGAAGGUGUGCUGUGAGGCAUGCUGGAGGUAUCAGAAGUGCGAAUGCUGACAUAAGUAACGAUAAAGCGGGUGAAAAGCCCGCUCGCCGGAAGACCAAGGGUUCCUGUCCAACGUUAAUCGGGGCAGGGUGAGUCGACCCCUAAGGCGAGGCCGAAAGGCGUAGUCGAUGGGAAACAGGUUAAUAUUCCUGUACUUGGUGUUACUGCGAAGGGGGGACGGAGAAGGCUAUGUUGGCCGGGCGACGGUUGUCCCGGUUUAAGCGUGUAGGCUGGUUUUCCAGGCAAAUCCGGAAAAUCAAGGCUGAGGCGUGAUGACGAGGCACUACGGUGCUGAAGCAACAAAUGCCCUGCUUCCAGGAAAAGCCUCUAAGCAUCAGGUAACAUCAAAUCGUACCCCAAACCGACACAGGUGGUCAGGUAGAGAAUACCAAGGCGCUUGAGAGAACUCGGGUGAAGGAACUAGGCAAAAUGGUGCCGUAACUUCGGGAGAAGGCACGCUGAUAUGUAGGUGAAGUCCCUCGCGGAUGGAGCUGAAAUCAGUCGAAGAUACCAGCUGGCUGCAACUGUUUAUUAAAAACACAGCACUGUGCAAACACGAAAGUGGACGUAUACGGUGUGACGCCUGCCCGGUGCCGGAAGGUUAAUUGAUGGGGUCAGCGCAAGCGAAGCUCUUGAUCGAAGCCCCGGUAAACGGCGGCCGUAACUAUAACGGUCCUAAGGUAGCGAAAUUCCUUGUCGGGUAAGUUCCGACCUGCACGAAUGGCGUAAUGAUGGCCAGGCUGUCUCCACCCGAGACUCAGUGAAAUUGAACUCGCUGUGAAGAUGCAGUGUACCCGCGGCAAGACGGAAAGACCCCGUGAACCUUUACUAUAGCUUGACACUGAACAUUGAGCCUUGAUGUGUAGGAUAGGUGGGAGGCUUUGAAGUGUGGACGCCAGUCUGCAUGGAGCCGACCUUGAAAUACCACCCUUUAAUGUUUGAUGUUCUAACGUUGACCCGUGAUCCGGGUUGCGGACAGUGUCUGGUGGGUAGUUUGACUGGGGCGGUCUCCUCCUAAAGAGUAACGGAGGAGCACGAAGGUUGGCUAAUCCUGGUCGGACAUCAGGAGGUUAGUGCAAUGGCAUAAGCCAGCUUGACUGCGAGCGUGACGGCGCGAGCAGGUGCGAAAGCAGGUCAUAGUGAUCCGGUGGUUCUGAAUGGAAGGGCCAUCGCUCAACGGAUAAAAGGUACUCCGGGGAUAACAGGCUGAUACCGCCCAAGAGUUCAUAUCGACGGCGGUGUUUGGCACCUCGAUGUCGGCUCAUCACAUCCUGGGGCUGAAGUAGGUCCCAAGGGUAUGGCUGUUCGCCAUUUAAAGUGGUACGCGAGCUGGGUUUAGAACGUCGUGAGACAGUUCGGUCCCUAUCUGCCGUGGGCGCUGGAGAACUGAGGGGGGCUGCUCCUAGUACGAGAGGACCGGAGUGGACGCAUCACUGGUGUUCGGGUUGUCAUGCCAAUGGCACUGCCCGGUAGCUAAAUGCGGAAGAGAUAAGUGCUGAAAGCAUCUAAGCACGAAACUUGCCCCGAGAUGAGUUCUCCCUGACUCCUUGAGAGUCCUGAAGGAACGUUGAAGACGACGACGUUGAUAGGCCGGAUGUGUAAGCGCAGCGAUGCGUUGAGCUAACCGGUACUAAUGAACCGUGAGGCUUAACCUUACAACGCCGAAGGUGUUU